AAAGUCGUAACAAGGUCUCCGUUGGUGAACCAGCGGAGGGAUCAUUACCGAGUUUACAACUCCCAAACCCCUGUGAACAUACCUUAUGUUGCCUCGGCGGAUCAGCCCGCGCCCCGUAAAAAGGGACGGCCCGCCGCAGGAACCCUAAACUCUGUUUUUAGUGGAACUUCUGAGUAUAAAAAACAAAUAAAUCAAAACUUUCAACAACGGAUCUCUUGGUUCUGGCAUCGAUGAAGAACGCAGCAAAAUGCGAUAAGUAAUGUGAAUUGCAGAAUUCAGUGAAUCAUCGAAUCUUUGAACGCACAUUGCGCCCGCCAGUAUUCUGGCGGGCAUGCCUGUUCGAGCGUCAUUUCAACCCUCAAGCCCAGCUUGGUGUUGGGAGCUGCAGUCCUGCUGCACUCCCCAAAUACAUUGGCGGUCACGUCGAGCUUCCAUAGCGUAGUAAUUUACAUAUCGUUACUGGUAAUCGUCGCGGCCACGCCGUUAAACCCCAACUUCUGAAUGUUGACCUCGGAUCAGGUAGGAAUACCCGCUGAACUUAAGCAUAUCAAUAAG
rnacentral:rRNA from 1 species